GUAGGUGGCAAGCGUUGUCCGGAUUUACUGGGCGUAAAGCGCGCGCAGGCGGCUCAUCAAGUCUGGGGUGAAAUCUCCCGGCUCAACCGGGAGGGGUCUCUGGAUACUGAUGGGCUUGAGGAGAGCAGAGGAGAGCGGAAUUCCAGGUGUAGCGGUGAUAUGCGUAGAUAUCUGGAGGAACACCAGUGGCGAAGGCGGCUCUCUGGGCUCUUUCUGACGCUGAGGCGCGAAAGCGUGGGGAGCGAACCGGAUUAGAUACCCGGGUAGUCCACGCCCGUAAACGUUGGGCACUAGGUGUGGGAGGUAUUGACCCCUUCCGUGCCGAAGUUAACGCGAUAAGUGCCCCCGCCUGGGGAGUACGGCCGCAAGGCUA
rnacentral:rRNA from 1 species